rnacentral:rRNA from 3 species
GCAUAUCAAUAAGCGGAGGAAAAGAAACCAACAGGGAUUGCCCCAGUAACGGCGAGUGAAGCGGCAACAGCUCAAAUUUGAAAUCUGGCUCUCGGGCCCGAGUUGUAAUUUGUAGAGGAUGCUUUUGGUGAGGUGCCUUCCGAGUUCCCUGGAACGGGACGCCAUAGAGGGUGAGAGCCCCGUCUGGUUGGACGCCGAACCUCUGUAAAGCUCCUUCGACGAGUCGAGUAGUUUGGGAAUGCUGCUCUAAAUGGGAGGUAUAUGUCUUCUAAAGCUAAAUACCGGCCAGAGACCGAUAGCGCACAAGUAGAGUGAUCGAAAGAUGAAAAGAACUUUGAAAAGAGAGUUAAACAGUACGUGAAAUUGUUGAAAGGGAAGCGCUUGUGACCAGACUUGGGCUUGGUUGAUCAUCCGGGGUUCUCCCCGGUGCACUCUUCCGGCCCAGGCCAGCAUCAGUUCGCCCUGGGGGACAAAGGCAUCGGGAACGUGGCUCUCUCCGGGGAGUGUUAUAGCCCGUUGCGUAAUACCCUGCGGCGGACUGAGGUUCGCGCAUUCGCAAGGAUGCUGGCGUAAUGGUCAUCAGUGACCCGUCUUGAAACACGGACCAAGGAGUCGUCUUCGUAUGCGAGUGUUCGGGUGUCAAACCCCUACGCGAAAUGAAAGUGAACGCAGGUGAGAGCUUCGGCGCAUCAUCGACCGAUCCUGAUGUUAUCGGAUGGAUUUGAGUAAGAGCAUACGGGGCCGGACCCGAAAGAAGGUGAACUAUGCCUGUGUAGGGUGAAGCCAGAGGAAACUCUGGUGGAGGCUCGCAGCGGUUCUGACGUGCAAAUCGAUCGUCAAACAUGGGCAUGGGGGCGAAAGACUAAUCGAACCUUCUAGUAGCUGGUUUCCGCGA